rnacentral:misc_RNA from 1 species
AAAUCAAAAAUCAAACCCACAUGUUUACUGUAAAAAUUAAACACAUGUAGUUUUAUAAUUUAAUCUGUUAAUUUCAAUUUGAAUACUUUCAAAAUAAACUUUGUCAAACCCACCACCCCAGGUGAGAGUAUUACUUUGUCUCCCUAAUAAAGGUGGCGAAAUAUUAGAUAGGAUUUGAAUAAAACUCUAUUCCUCUAAUAACCAUUGGUUCCUUAGAAUUGCAAUAGUACCAGAAUCUCUUUCCACAUAGAGGACAUUCUUUGGUUAUUACCACCAAUUGCGGAUGAGACAAAGAUUAAGUGGGCUACAAAAUAGGCAAACAUGUUGACAGCAGACAGGGUAGCUUGUAAUGUCAGUUUAAAGAGAGACUUGCCUCAUUUGCAUUGCUCCAAAGUAAUGAAACCUAUUUCAUUUGAUUUUCAAAGGGGAAAAAAAUUCAUUCCAAACGAAUCACCACAACUUUAUAGAAUAUAAAAGCAAUGACCAGCAGGCAGUGGGUGUGUUCAGCCAGUGGAAACAAUCAACACAGGCUAUAUCAGGUUGCGCUACUCAACUUGUCACUAAGGGAUCCAAAAUUACCUGCAGCCACAAAUUUGAACAAUGAGAGGGGUCCACAUUAUUCUCAGAUAGCGAAGACUCUUCAACAAAGCGUACGCACGUAUAUAUGCUUUCGGUUGCCUUUCAUUUUCAUUCUUGCACUACUUUACAGUGUCUAUGUUCGGCCAUAGCCCAAAUGAUAAGCUAGAGAUUAAUACUCCGAGCAAUAAAGUCAUAACAAUGAAACAGUAAAACCCCCACCUAUGAUUCUAACCAAACUAUGAAUGGUGAGAGGACAAUCCAGAAACAAGGAGAGCAAGUAGAAGAAGAAAGCUCAUGUCUUCAUACAAAUUCAAUAAAGAGUGCUAGUUGAAUUGAAAUUCAAAUGAUUACGCCAAUUCAAAGGCAUUUUUAGCCAAUCAGUGCUCUAAAAAGAGUCUCUUGUUCAACUCAUGACUAAACAUUUCCUCCAAUUUUUUGCAACUCCACAUUACACUGACAACCCACUUUUGUUCAAAAGUCCUACUAGUAUCACUACAGAGUGACAUUUAUGGGUGAAGGCAUCUAGGCAAUGCCUGCCUUCAUGGUAACAAUGCAGGGCCUCUAAGCAAAAGCUCAUAAAAAAUAAAAAGAACAGGACUCAGUUUUUGUAACUCAUAAUUUUUUUCUUCAAGAUGUACUCUGUUCAUCUAGAAGUUCCACAUAUCCUAAAAACAAAUGAAUCAUGAACUCUUGAAAAUAACCACUUAACAAAAACAGAAGCAUAGAGGCCAUCUGCAGUAUAUGGCAUAUGCACUUGCAAACAAUGCAUAUUCGCAGAGGACGAGCUCUAUAUCUAUGCAUGUGGAUAAAAGAAAACCUGAAAACUCUCCAGGUUUUAAAGUCUGUCCAUCAAGCAAGUUGUAAUCCCCAAUCGGGCCAACCCAAAAAGCAAGCAUUUAUCAAUCAUAGAAUAAUGAAGACUAUGAUUUUUAAUUUUGUACACUAACUCAAUAAUUGUCCAGAAUAAUAUUCAGCAAAUUGUCUAUCAUAGACAUGGACCAACUCUAAAAUCAUAUAAUAUCAAAUUUCACUGUCAUAAUUAAAUCAAUGCUCUGGAACCUAUCAACAAAAAUAAAUAACGCAUAUUUUAUCUAAUCUGACAUCUAAAAAAUAUGAACAAGUGUAAAAUCCAGGAAUAGUCCACGAAUGAGGCAGUGUAACCAUCCAGCAGAACAGAACAGACUUUGAAUUCUGACUUCACAUCUGAACCACAAGCACAUUACAGACAAGCAACAGUACAAAUGUUCCUUUUCAAGUACACGAGCAUCCUCCUUAAGUCAAAUAUAAUUACCCAGUUCUCAGAAAAAAUAUUCCUUUCUUGGCACAAUAAGAAAAUUGGUUAUCAUGGAUCAAAUUGUUCCUUUCCAAAGAUUCAAAAUUUACAUUUUAAGCUUGUCAAUUACAGUGACCACAACCAAAUCAGGCCCCAGUCAGCAGAACCAUGCCUGUAGUAAAUAGCUUCCUUAAUAUCUGCAUUCCAUUGCCUGUACCAGCUAACUAAAUUGGUUCACCAUGUACAAUGAAGCCAGCCAGUUAAAUCACCCUAAUACUCCAGCUUUGCUUAUAUUAUAUGAUCAAAUGGAGUCAAAAGAUAGUCAAACCCUAUACAAGACUUUACCACCUUAUAAAAUAUGCAGGAAAAGACCAUACUAAACCAUAAAAUUAUCAACCCUCUAUUUAAUUAUGAAUGACAAUAAUUACUUCUCUUCAAAUAAUUCAAGAAAUAUUAUUUUGUGCAAUGCCAAAAAAACAUAAGAACUUGAACAUAAGUGGGCACACUUGGCAUAUUAAAAGCAGUACAGCUUUAAAUUUUAGAUAACAGGUGAUGUCUGUCCAUUAGUUUGAGGAAUGAAUUUUAAAAGCUAACUUGAAUCUUUCCCAUGACAUCAGCCUAUACAUAAACUUGAUAACGAAUGGAGGAAAGGAUGUGAACCAGACUUCAUGAAUUAUGAAGUAUGUAGAUUAUACCUUGCUUACUUUUUGGGCUCUCUCUUGAAGGAACCAACAGGUACCACGCUAGAAGAUUCAUGAUUAGUACCACUCAUGACAUCUAUGCCCUGUUCCUAAAACAAACAAGACCGUGUGAUUUUUUUAAGAUGUAAAUCUAUUGCAUUAAACUACGGUUCUUAGCAUGCAUGUGAAUUGAAGUCACCGACUUUAAAAAAUAUAAACACAGAUUAAAGAGAGUCAAUGGAAAAGCGAAUACAUGGUUAGUUGAAUUUUGCCCAUGUAUCCUCUGAGGUCUGGCAUUAAGAUCAAUCAACUUAUUGUCAAUCUUGCGAUCACCAUCGGUGUUAUUCUCCAUCAUUGGAAUGGGAGAUUCUCUGUGAUUUUGCUUAUUGUCUCUCAUCGUGAGUUUAGGUGGCUGAUUUUGGUCCCUCCGAACUUCAUUUUGAUCAAGAGGUUGCUGUCCUAAUUCAUCCAAAUGGCGAGGCUUGUCCCCUGGAAACUAAACCAGACAACAAAAGGGAAGCAUAUACUUUUGGGACCUUAUUUACAGAAAAAAAUAAAAACCAAGCUCCCAGUCCAGAGACACAAACCUCAACUCUCUGCCUCAAUAGAAGAUAUCUCCCAUGGGUUCUUUUACCACCAACAUGCACAAUCAUAUCACAUUGCAGACAGAGGGAGCUACCAUCUAUCUCACAGUAAAAGAAAG